CCUAUUUCUGCAUUCUUUUGGAACAGGGGAGAGCUUGUCUGUGUGGUAUUUCCCACAGACCCGUCGGUGGUGUCCUAAAAUACAGGAUUCAGGUAAGUUGACAAGGUCCCCAACAGGUCUAAUAACUCAUAGGUUCAACGUGGCGACAAGCACAAACGAAAUUUUGAGAUUUCUGCUGCAACGGUCAUGCACAAUGAAAAUAUUGGUGAUUCCUCUCAGAGAAGAAGUCACACGUACCC